UUCUUGCGUGCAUGUGUGCGUGUUUGCCCAGCGGGCAGAACACAGGGCCAGGGCAGGAAACGAAGUGGUUGUGCCACCGGUUAGAGGAAACAGAACGGUAGAUAAAUUACUGGGAGUCGGGCUGGCAGGACUUCUGAGGGCCGGAGCUGAGUGGACGGAGAGGGAGGACAGAGUGUUGACAUGGAGGAUGAUCCACCAACCACUGGAACACAUCUCCAAAGUUCUGCCGGGCCAGCUCAGCUUCCCCUCAGAAGAAGUGCUGCCACCUGACAGAUGAAGGAGCCUUUUGAGAGGCAGCUGGCAUCGUGAUUGGAUUGUACUUUGGUCUGUUCCAAUCCAGCUUCAGCUCCAGAGACGGCAGGCGGGACGAGUCAACGGAGGCCGGGUGGACGAAGGCAUGCAGCUGAGUACAAUCCAGAAAACAACAGAGGAGGAGUGCAGUGGCCCAGGGCCGGAAUAUACAGAGUAGCAUCGUAUGUCUCUUAGAAAACAUCAUAGUAUAGCCUUUGGUAUGAAAAAACACCAUCAUAUACAUCGUAUAUUGUACAAAUAGCAAGUCAAAGGAAAGAGACAUACAUUGUAGAAUUGUAAUAAUUGUGGACUGACUUAUUUACUGAUUAUCAGUAUUUUUGUUUUUACUGAUUUACAGUAAUAAAUAAAUUUUAAAAUGCCCCUAA